GUACAAGGCCAGGGGUGCCCUAUCUGUGCCCUCCCUCUGGCUUCACUGAACCACAGCCCCCUGCCAGCUCCUUUUAAGUGUAGGAUCUUUUGAUCCAACAGUGAUUGCCUUCUCUGGCCCAGCAGGCCCUGCAAUCCUUUCCAGGCAAAGGUUCCACUGAGAACAGGAACUCCUUUCUUUGCUUUCUUUUCCUCUUCCUCUGGGGGCCAAAAAUAGUGCCUGAAUAGGACACAGCUCUGGGCCGGCAACGAGACAAUAGCCGCCUCCUGGCUCUGGUCCAUCGGUGGGGGAGGAGGUGAUGUUGGUGCACGGGCACACCAUCCCAAGGACCCCAGCCCCUGCUGCUUUUCCCAUGGCCUCGGCCAGAAAGCAUCCCAGAGCCCCUUGGAGUAUGAUUGCCAAGGGGAUUCCUGCUUUUUCUGGGGAAGUGCUCUGAAGACCCUGGGCCCCUGAGCAGCCCCACUCUACCUCCUGAUCUGCUGCUGGUCUGGAGCUGAAGGCCUCAGUGGGGGCGCCCGACGGCCCUGGUUCUCUUCUGGGCCCUGGGUUCUCAUGGGGCCACCCCAUGGCUUUGAUGUCCUUUUCCCUUUGACUCAGUGGCUAUGAAAGACUUUUUAGAGAUCAAAGGGAUGUGUCCUCUUCAGAUCAGGUGAGCUCUCUGUCACUGGAGGUGAUCAAAUAAAGUUUGGAUGUGCACUAAAUGGGGGGUGGGAUUAGUCAAGCAUCAGAUGGAUACUGGGUCUUGAUGUCUUUGUGUCUCAGAGGAGAUCAUGGGUUGAAUUCCAUACACCGCUCUUACCAGCUGGGUGGUCUUGAGCAAGUCACAUCAUGUUCCUGAGCCUCUCUCUCCGCAUCUGUAAGAUGGGUUCAACAGGGCUAACCUCGCAGGGUGGUAGGAAUGGAUCUCCAGAAUGCUCAGUGUAGUGCCUGGCACAUAGGCAGGGUUUCAGAAGCUUUGCCUCUGUUCUCCUCCCUCCCCAGACUGGUACUCACUCUGGGGUACAGAAAGGACCCACUCUUGGCCCCCAGGGAACUCUGGAGGAAAGCCAGGGGGAACCCCCAGCCCCAGGGCUAACUCAGAAAGAAGAUUCCUGGUGGAUUGUGGCAAUCUGGGAAGGCUUCCUGGAGGAGGUACUCCCCUAAGAUGCUUCCAGGGAAGUAUUGUGCACAUUCUGUGCUCAUGGCAGCCAGUGGUGGAGAUUAGACGGGUGUCUAGUGUGGGUCAAGGCCAAGGCCACAAGCUGGCAGCCUUCAGGGGCAAAUGUAGCUGAUAGUAGGCAUUUUUCAUCACAGGGGUAGCCCCCACCAGUGUUCUAAAAAGAUUUGGUUUUUAAGUCAAUAUUGACAAACAUAGGCAGGUGUCCCCCAACGUACCCCAUAAUCUGGUGUCCUAAACUCUGCCCUUCUUCCUGCCAGCUCCCUACCUGGCCAGCAUCCAAGUAAGGGGACUUGGGCACAGGACAAGUCAGGGCCUGCGCUGUGCUGGGUUGGAGCUGGGCAGUGACGUAGUCCCUGCAGCUGCCAACGGUUGCCAGGGCAACGGUUGCCAGGGGCUGCUGUCACCUGCGCCCCUUUUCCCGGGUUGGCGGCUGGGACUUGCAGCCCGUCUUCCCAGGCUGCCUGCUUUGUUUGAGGCUCCGGUGAGGGGGGCGGGGACCGAGGCUGGGGAGGCUCAGCUUCAAAGUGCCCCUCUGGCCUCUUGAAGUGGGGAGAAACUGACCCAUCACCAGCAGGCUGCAUCCUGCAAACAAGGCGAGCCCUUGGCCCACUCAUUCACGCUCUUUAUGUAUUUAUAAUCCACUUGAUGACACGAAGGAGGAAUCCAGGUAUGAUUCUUCCCCUCCUCCCGCGCCAUUGCUCUCAUUCGUGCUCCUGCUCCCCUCUCCUCACCAAAUCCCCACUUCUUAUCCUCUCUCCCCUUUCCCUUGUUCACCCCCCUCCCCCUCCAUCUCUCUUCCACUGUAUCAUCAUCUUCUCCCUCCUCCUCUCCCCUCCAUUUCCCCUCCAUCCCCCUUCCCCCUCUCCCUUCUUCCCAACACUGAGAACUUAGCAGAUGGGUAAGGUGGGGUUGGGGCUGGGGUGACACUAGGGACCCUGGGAGAGUCAGAGAUGCUACUCUGAGGGGACCUGGUCAGUGAAGCAGACAGCAGAUCAUAACCACCAGGAAGUGGUUGGAGGUAAGGGCCUCACACCCCACACCCCUUCCCUCUGCCACACUCCAGCUAAAAUUCCGUUUCCGGGCUGUACCCCCAUCGGUCCUCAGAGGAAAGUGUUCAUCUAAUCUCGAGGAAACACAUUUUUGGAAGCAUCUUUUACUACGAAUUUUAAAGAGAAGCCCUUUCUAACAGUCAGUUAAUGUCAAGGGGAAAUGCUGCAAAAUCAAGAGCAUGGGUUCUGGAGUCAGGCUCUGAGGCUGCACCACGAGCUGUGUGAUCUCCGGCAGGUAACUUGAUCUUCUAGGGCCUUAUUUGUUAAAUGGGCAUAAUGGUACUUGUCUCAUAAGAUUUGGGGGAGGAUUAAAUGUGUUCGCUUGUGUAGAGAGCUUAGAAUCAAGUCUUACAUUUUCAGAGAGCUUCAUUAAUGCUAGCUUUGUGACCAAGAUCUAUUAGUGAUGGCAUCUUGGGUCUGCGACAUUUGGUAAUUCUGUUAGAGGGCAAUAUAAAACACUAUAUUUCCACUUUUUCUGUUAGACAUCCCUAACAAAUUUUAUAUUAUACUCC
rnacentral:lncRNA from 1 species